AUGACCCGCCCCCGCCGCCGCCGCCGCCCCCGCUCGUCGGCGGCAACGCCCGCGGCCGUGGAGGACGACGACCUACUCUCCGAGAUCCUCCUCCGCCUCCCGCCGCUCCCUUCCUCCCUCACCCGCGCCUCCGCCGUCUGCAAGCGAUGGCGCUGCCUCGCCUCGGAUCCAGCCUUCUCCCGCCGCUUCCGCAUCCACCACCGCCGCAACCCUCCACUCCUCGGCUGCUUCCAGACAGGUACCGACGGCAUAUCCUUCGAGCCUACUCUGGAGGCCCCCAAUCGUGUUCCGCCCGGGCGCCUCUCCUUGCAGUUUAACUCCUUCGUCCGAUUACUCGGGUGCCGCCAUGGCCUCGUAUUAAUCUUGGACCAGACGCAGCAGCUCCUGGUGUGGGACCCCUUCACCGGCCACCAGCAUCGUCUACGCAUUCCCAGGAAGUUCGAUCCGAGCAAAUCCUUGAUCAACGGGGCGGUGCUCCGGUCUGCUGCCGGAGACGUCCACUUCCAGGUCGUCUUGGUAGUGGCAGAUUGUGACAAUAAGUUGCUGGCCUGUGUUUACUCGACAGAGACUGGGGUGUGGGGUACACUAAUCUCAACACCAAUUCCAUCCGGGAACUCCCUUCACACCAGGGUUUGUUGGGAGCCCGCUGUGUUAGUUGGGGAUUCCCUUUACUGGAUACUCGCUAGUACUACUUUGUUAAAUCUGCUCCAGUUUGAUUUGAAGAGGAAGAGCUUAGCCGUGAUACAGCUGCCGGCAGAUAAGUCUUAUGAUGUGCUAGGACGCUUUAUAAGUCCUGAAGGGCGCUUCACUGUCACGCGGGCAGAGGGUGGUGGGCUGGGUUUGCUCUCUGUGUCAGGCUUCACCGCGCAAUUAUGGAAGAUGAAGACCAGUUUCGAUGGCGUUGCAUCAUGGGGGAUGGAAAAAACUGUCCAACUGGAGAAGCUUCUCUCCAUGGAUUCAGAGGAUUACUUAAUCAUACAAGGGUACGCCGAGGACAAUAAUUUGGCGUUCCUGUGGACCGGCAGGAGCCUCUUCACGCUCAAGCUUGAGCCAUUGCAGUGCGAGAAACUUUUCGACACCAACAAUUGGCGUCGUCAUUAUCCAUUUGAAAUUGUCUAUGCUGCAGGCUUCCACAGCAGAGCAGGUUGA
rnacentral:rRNA from 1 species